rnacentral:rRNA from 1 species
AUUGAACGCUGGCGGCAGGCUUAACACAUGCAAGUCGAGCGAGCGGCGGACGGGUGAGUAAUGUCUGGGAAACUGCCUGAUGGAGGGGGAUAACUACUGGAAACGGUAGCUAAUACCGCAUACCAUCAGAUGUGCCCAGCUGGGAUUAGCUAGUAGGUGGGGUAAUGGCUCACCUGGGCGACGAUCCCUAGCUGGUUUGAGAGGAUGACCAGCCACACUGGAACUGGUACACGGUCCAGACUCCUACGGUAGGCAGAAUGGGGGAAUAUUGCACAAUGGGCGCAAGCCUGAUGCAGCCAUGCCGCGUGUGUGAAGAAGGCCUUCGGGUUGUAAAGCACUUUCAGCGAGGAGGCGUUACUCGCAGAAGAAGCACCGGCUAACUCCGUGCCAGCCGCCGCGGUAAUUC